AUCCUGGUAUUAAAGGACACAUCUACUAUAAAUUCAGAUAUUAAACAUUGUGCAUGAUUUAGCCGUGACCUGUAUAGUUGAGAUAAAAAGCAAAGGUACGUUUACUUUUAUCUGUUUACUUUUAGCAUUUAAAUGACUUUUGUUUCAUUAUCUGUUAUAUAACACUUUCUAUUUGAAAUUCUAGUUCUAUUACAUAAUCUUACUUCUGUAUAACGCAAAUAUUGCCAACGGUAAUAGGUGAAUACUUAUAAAAUGUAUAUCUCAGGAACAAUAUCAAUAUGAAAAGAAAUUAUUCGAUUCUAACGAUAAAAGUAAGGACAUAUGGCAAAAAUGUAACCGAGACAACUAUCAGUUGAAGACCACAGAACAGACAUGCGUCCUAAAAGAGGGACGAAAGAUACCAAAGGGACAGACAAACUCAUAAAUCUAAAACAAAAUGACAACGCCAUGGCUAAAAAUGAAAAAGACAAACAGAAAAACAAUAGUACACAUGACACAACAUAGAAAACUAAAGAAUAAACAACACGAACCCCACCAAAAACUAGGGGUGAUCUCAUGUGCUCCGGAAGGGUAAGCAGAUCCUGCUCCACAUGCUCUAAUGUGCACUGAACAAUACUAAUCGUAAAAACAAUAAGGCAUGCUGCAACCAACGACAACUACUUGACGACAGAAACACAAAUUAGGUUGCAGAGUUAAACAUUUUUGUAAACGCUUAAAACUCAUUCAUGUAAAAGAAGGACGAAAGAUACAUGUACCAGAGGGACAGUCAAUAGUAAUAGUUGUGUGUAGCAACACUUAAUAAUUAGCAAAUGCAUGUACGUUGUUUUUAAUAUUUUAGGGAAAGCAUUUCCAAAAUGAAAAAUACAACAGUUUUUGGAGCAGUUUUUGUUUUACUUCUGAUAUUUUCGUGUGGUAAGUUUUUCAAUUGUUAAUAUUGUAAAGAAACUUUAUUUUACAAACAAAAAUUAAAUGGUAAUAUUCACAUUUAUACUCAGGUUAUAAUGAGUUCGGAUCGAACAUAAAACACGCUUUGUAUGUUGUAAUUUUUUGAUAAUUUUAAAUACUGGCCUCUUUAAUCAAAUGUUUGUUUGUAUAUGAGCUGGAUAGUAAAACACCGAAGGAAAUUAAAAGGUGGAAAUUAAAAUGAAAUCAAUAUUAAAAAAACAGAAAAUGCGAUGACCCAGUCCAGAAUAUUUCUAAAACUAGACAAACAAAAACCUCUUUGUAAAAAGAGGAGAAAAUUAGGUGAUCCGAUAAAAUCAUCAGUACCAUCAAGACUGUUUGAAGAUUUGAUAUUACGUAAGUUAAAACACGUGGACUAGUCUUUACCGCGCAUUAGGCAUAUUUACAAAGGUCUCAAAUUAAUAAAGCAACAAUAGUUAUUAUCACAGAGAGUAAAGCAGAGAUGAAUAGUGCAUUUUAUAAUCAUUUAGGUAGUAUUAAUGUGAAGUCUUAACAGUAUAAUUAACUUUUAAUUGAUUUUUAAUAGUAAAAGUAUAACGUGUUUGACUCGGUUGCAAUAGGAAAUUUCUAUUUGCAAAAUGUUUUACGUUAAAUAACCCAAGCGCAACCCAGAUGGUAUAUACUUAUGAAAAAUGUAUUUGAAUAUUUUGUCAUGAGUUAUCCUUCACGUUUUUAAAUAUCAAAUUUGGACAUUUAGACGCACAUAAUUAAAUCUAGUUGUGUACGUCAUACGUUAAAUAAAAACUAUUGCGAUUAAUUGGUUAUUCUAUGGCUAUUGCAAUGCUUGCUUGAUUUUUUCUUUGCAGCUUGUAUGUUUUAUUUGGUCUUAUUUCAUUUCUAGGUAUUUUAAAUCUUUAAUUGACGUUUACUCCUAAUUUUGGUGUUUCAUCAAAUUGAUGUGUUUACCGUUGGCACAAAAGUAGUGAUCAAGCAAAUUCAUUUAUGCCUUUAUCUAGCCGUUCAUUGACACACUAUGACAGUUCUGUGGUAAAUUUCAAUGACCAGCACGACAAAUAUAACAAAAUAAAGGAAUCAAAUACGAACUAAUAGCUUAUAAUUCCGUAUCUCGGGUUUCAAAGCUGAAACAAAUAGUAAAAAAAGAAUUAAUACGUAUUAGUUACAAUAAAAUCUAAAAAAUUAAGAUUACUUUUAAAAUUGAUUAUCUAUGUAUUGCAAAUAUCAAAGUGAAACAAAUUUUGGCACGGUGACCGUCAUUGGACUAUAAAGAAUUAAAAAUCUAUAAUAAAUCAUUUGGCAUGUUUUGCAAAACACAAUAAGUACAUUUUGUUUUUGUUAACAAAAUAAAAAACGUUAAGGAGCAUCGCUGUUAUCGCUAUUUUUCAAUCUCUAGGUCAGCAUAUUAAUCUUAUAUUGCCGAGUUAAUAACUUUUUGGUCUUUAAAUUAUCAUAUAAUCUAUAUCCGUAUGCUUUCAAUCGAAAAAGGGUUGUCAGUUUUAAAACAAAGAGAGAAAGAUCGUUAACUUAGUCUAAUAUAUGUUAAAAUAUUUUAUAUUGUUAUAAUGCAUGGAAAAUACAAACACAAACAAACACACACAAACACACUAACACACAUACACGUUCAUAUUUCUACACAAAUGAAUAACGAAUAGUAUGUACAUGUUAAAAUCAAAGAUUUACCUUCGAACAUUCACAACUGAUAAGUGGAGUGAAAUAAAUAAGAUUUGAUCUUUAAGAAGUAAAAGAACAAUUGCAAAUUAUAACAAAUUUGACUGCAGACGUCUUCUGCUGAUGCAAAUGGCAUGAAUGGUGAAUCUUUUGAAUACGCUUUUCAGUAGUGGAACUACAAGGGGCAGAACCCAAAAACAGUGUACGGGUUCUCAAGUGUUCCAAACACUGCAUACUACCAUUUAUGGGAAGCAAGUGUAAAAAAUGUUGUAAACAAAAUGGAAAGAAACACGGACGAUGCUUUUCUGUCUUUUGUGUGUGUUGGAAUUGGCCAUGAGGUUGAACCCUAAGGUAAGUAUAACUAAUAAUCGUCACGACAUUAAAUUGUUUGUCAAUACUUAGUGGUGCAUAACAAAAUGGAUGUACUGAAUUUAAAUGUAAAUAACCAUAUAUAAUAGACCAUUUUAUCCAUUUAGAUUAAGUAAAAUGCAAAUAUUUGAACUUAAUAACGGCCUUAAUAAACAUGACAGAAAGCCCCAAUUUACCCCUAAUAAGUCUGGAUUUUUUACCUUUAAAUAUUGAUUUUGACCUUUUUUAUAUUUAAGCAAUAACAAAAUAAGAUAGAAACUUCAAAAAGCAAAAAUUAUCUGCAAUAUAAAAAGUAUAAGUAAAACAGUAUGACCGAAAUUAUCAGAUAGACGUUAUACAGUAAAAAUCAUCAACGAAACAGGAUUUUCAAAAAUGCAACCAAAUAUGAUUUACAAAUAAGCAAACAGAAAUGAUUGCAUGAGUGGUAAAAUAUAUAUCUUCAUUGGAUUGUUCACGCUCAUGCAUUAGAGCUUCUUGUUCAUGUUGUUUUCUCUACUGUUGGAAAAAUUGAGAAGAACACACCUACAACGUAAUCAAAUCAAAUGCGUAUUUUUUUUUACACAUAUACAACGUUCCUGAUUAUUUCAAAUAUCGUUUCUUUGCACUCUAAAUCAUUCUACAUUUACAAUACACCAUUUCAUCAUUCCUCAUUCUCUAGUGUACCACGCAACAAUCAAAGACAUUAUAAAUCUCUUGUUACCAUAUGAUUUUCAUAAGAUAAUGACAUUCUGUAUAUGUACUUCAUUCUAAAUUCCAAUAUAUGAAUGUUGAGCGCUGCAUAUUAAAGAUAAUGAUUGUCUACUUAAUUUAUAGAAAGCAUAUCAAGAACCAAAAGUAAACCUUCUAUUUUGUUUUUCAGAGCACUGAGCUUUUAUGAUACUACUUCGUGUUAUCAGUAGAAUUAAAAAAACUAAGUCAUCAAACAAGAAGUUUUACUUUUUUCAACAAUAUACAUGUAUUUCCCUUUAAGCUUGCUGUUUAUAUAAAUAAGAAGAUGGGGUAUGAGUGCCAAUGAUACGACUUUCCAUUAAAGCCACAUUGUACAAAAACUUAAUAAUUACAGGUACAAGUAAGACCUUUAACACAGAGCCUUGGCUAACACCGAACAGCAAGCUAGUAAGGGCCCAACAACUACUAGUGUAAACUAAUUCAAACAGGAAAACUAACGGUCUUAUCUAUAUAAGAAACGAGAAACGAGAAACACAUAUACACCACACCAAAUAAAAUCAACCACUGAAAAACAGGAUUUUGACUUAGGGCAGGUGCAUAAAUGAAUUUUUAAAUAUUUCAAAUAUGAAACAUAGAAAUGAAUAAGUUCCCAAGGCUCGACACAUAAGAAUAAAUUUGUCAAACAAUUUCCUAAUGUCAGGAGCAAAACUUCGAAAUAUAUGCAAUUCCAUUAUAUCAACAUUAUUUGCAGUUUAUCCGUGAAUAUAAAAAAGAAGAUGUGGUAUGAUUACCAAUGAGACAAAUGUCCUCAAGAGAUAAAAAUGACACAGACAUUAACAACUAUAGGUCACCGCACGGCCUUCAACAAUGAGCAAAGCCCAUACCGCAUAGUCAGCUAUAAAAGGCCCCGAUAUGACAUUGUAAAACAAUUCAAACGAGAAAACUAACGGUCUUAUUUAUAUAAAAGAAUGAACAAAAAACAAAUAUGUCGCACAUUAACAAACGACAACCA
rnacentral:lncRNA from 1 species